UGCUGGAGGUAUCAGAAGUGCGAAUGCUGACAUAAGUAACGAUAAAGCGGGUGAAAAGCCCGCUCGCCGGAAGACCAAGGGUUCCUGUCCAACGUUAAUCGGGGCAGGGUGAGUCGACCCCUAAGGCGAGGCCGAAAGGCGUAGUCGAUGGGAAACAGGUUAAUAUUCCUGUACUUGGUGUUACUGCGAAGGGGGGACGGAGAAGGCUAUGUUAGCCGGGCGACGGUUGUCCCGGUUUAAGCAUGUAGGCUGGUUAUCCAGGCAAAUCCGGAUAAUCAAGGCUGAGGUGUGAUGACGAG
rnacentral:rRNA from 1 species